CUGUUGCAGGGACCAUGCUCAGCUCUGCUCCAACAGAACCUUGUGGAGAGGGGCUGUGCCCUGGAGAACUGCAGCCUGGGGAGCUCUUGCACCGCUGCCUGACUGUGGAAGGACUUUUGGUGUCUGGAGCUUCCUCCAGCUCCAGAGGGUCUGUGGAUCCCAUGGACAACUUGAUGUCACCCUAAAGCAACAGAGAAGCCACCUGUGAAGGGCACCUUCCUGUGUGCAUGUCACAGGGUGCUCUGAACUACAUAAAACAUUCUCAGAGUGGGGAAGAUCACCGAGAGCUUGACCAGAACUGACUUGAGAAGCUGUUUCAAAGCACUCCGAAAGGAGCUGCAAACAGCUGGCCGUGCUUGCUGUUCCCUGGCAGGAGUGGGUGGUGGUGCCUUCUGCAGUGCUCCCAAGGAGCUGCUGGGAAUAAGCACGCUGCUGCAGGGUGCUUGGGACGGCAGCACUGGGAAAGGAAGAUGGGCUCCAGGCUGAGCGUGCCAGCAGCCCUUCAGCUCAGGUGGGAGCACUCCUUCCCUUUGACGUGGAUGGAAAUCUGCUGCUCAGGGCUCGGUCAGCACCCAGACCAGGAUGGGGAUGCCUGGAGAAUAGAAAACCAGGAGGGAACCUCGCUUAAAAUGCAGGUUCAGGAUCUUGUGGCAGGGCCCUGGGGCUGUUCCCCUUGCCAGGGAGGUGGGCAAGACCGAGGGGGGUUUCCUGAGCUGAGUCCUCUGAAGGAGGAGGGGGCCGGGGAAGUUCCCAAAGCUGCUGACAGCUCCUGGUGUCCCCUGUCGCUGGGGUGUCCCUGGCAGUCCUGUCCAGGUGUUCUGCCUGCAGCAGGUCCCGCAGUGGACUCUGAUCACUCAGGAACUUGGGGAGCCCUGCAGCAUGUCCAGAACGUCUCCCAGCAUGUUUCCCACCGCACAUGGAUGGAAUUCUGGCAAGAUGUCAACAUGCUCCGCUGCCACUCAGAGUGGAGAGCGUUGCCCAGCUCUUCCCGUGCCCGUCUGCCGGGCCUGGAGCGAUUGCAGAGCUGAUUUUCGGCAGCUGAAGCGGCAGCAGGAGCGGGAGGGGAAGGCUGGGCUAUCAGUCACCGGGAGAUGCUGCUCACUCCCACGGAGGUGUUUACAGGAGGGGCGUGAGUGCGAGCUGGAGCCAGCUGCCAUUAGCAUUGCAGAUCGGGCACUUGUUAGCAGAGUGCUUCGCCCCUGCUUUACAAUUUGCUAAUAAUAAAGCAUUUGUUCCCGGCAAA